AUUGAACGCUGGCGGCAGGCCUAACACAUGCAAGUCGAACGAGUGGCGGACGGGUGAGUAAUGUCUGGGAAACUGCCCGAUGGCGGGGGAUAACUACUGGAAACGGUAGCUAAUACCGCAUACCAUCGGAUCUGCCCAGAUGGGAUUAGCUAGUAGGUGGGGUAAAGGCUCACCUAGGCGACGAUCCCUAGCUGGUCUGAGAGGACGACCAGCCACACUGGAACGGAGACACGGUCCAGACUCCUACGGGAGGCAGCAGUGGGGAAUAUUGGACAAUGGGGGAAAGCCUGAUGCAGCCAUGCCGCGUGUAUGAAGAAGGCCUUCGGGUUGUAAAGUACUUUCGGCGGGGAGGCGUUACCCGCAGAAGAAGCACCGGCUAACUCCGUGCCAGCAGCCGCGGUAAUUG
rnacentral:rRNA from 1 species